AUUAUUGUUUGUUUGUUUCAGGUCUGAAAGUGAUCGAAAAAUGUUGAACCCAGAAACCGGUUGUUAUUCGGAAUCCGUGCGAGCAUGGGAUUGGAACGUGACGGGCAACGUACGCGUACAAGAGUCCUGGCCUACGUGAGCGGAUUUCCUCGCGGCUAAUUCGAACUUCUCCAACGACGAAGGAUCAGGAUCCUUGAUUGUUUCGCGCCUCACGGUAUCAAUGCCCGGAGGAAACAUACAGGAUGCCCGUGGAUUAUUAUAGUGCGAGAUCUACUUCGUCAAGGAGAUAUUUCGUUAACGAUUAAGAUGCACCACUUCGAGUUCGACGACGAGUCCCGGAGAAGAAGAUUGAAGGAAACGAAAAUGAAGAAAAAGAAUAAGAAGAAGAAGAAGUAGGAGGAGGAGGAGGUGUUGUGUGUGACGAAACGAACGAUAUAAUUAAACGUAUAUACGUAUGUAUAACGUACCUCGGGUGAUUCGAUUUAAUAGAUUAUAUAUAUAUAUAUAAACGAUGUAAAUAUCGGUGUGCAAUAAGUCGACACUUCCUCGUUUAUGAUAGGCGAGAGUCCUUGUUAUUAUCACCGUUACGGUUAGCAUUACGAACCAUUAUCGUUACCGGAGCAUCGCUUAUCAUUAUCGUAUCUGCCGUGAGAGGAGGAACUCGUUGAAUUAUUCAUGCGGCGUUUAUGACGGAACUUUUUUUUUUCAUCUUCUUUUCGUUAGACUUCAAGUGUGAAAGAUAGAGAGAGAGAGAGAAAGAAGGGGUAGAGGAGGGGGGGGAGAAGAAGUACUAUACGUACAACGAAUGAAAAAGGGUCGCGCGAGUCUCGGGUAACCGUUCGCGAGUUUCGUUAUAAAUCAUCGCAUGACGUACGUACAUACGUUAACUCAAAUAUUUCUUUUAUUUUUAAUUGUUCUUCUUCUUUGUCUUUUCUCUCUCUCUCUCUCUCUCUCUUUUUCUUUUUUUCUAUUUUUAUUUCCGUUCGAAUUCCUUCACUCGCGAAAGAAAAAUCCUUUGCAUAUCGAACAAGCGAUGCGACGAUUCGGAAAUGACCGGAAAAAGACAACACAUAUUUACAUAUUACAUAUGCGUUUACACACACACACACACACAACACAACCAUUCUCUAACAUAUAUAUAUAUAUGCGGAAAGAAGAGUUGAUGAGAAAUAGGAGAACACACAUUACACGUUAAUAGCGUCUUCGUGUUAAUCUGUAUAUUACUUCUGUAAAUAAAUUAAUCGUGAUAUAAAUCGGUGCGAGUGAUGCGACACACACACAUAUUUUAAUUAUCGUUUGAUUAUUAUUAACAUACCGAGUUUUAGUAUCCUCGGCCUUAGCGAUCCGACGACUGUCUUACACACACACAUACAUACACACAUACAAUUGAUAUAGAUUUAUGAUUAUUAAGUAAAUAGUAAUGUAGUAAGAUUAGUAGUACACGCUCGUUGAUUUACGAGGAACGUUUCGUGUAAGCCGAUCCUCUCGAGAUAAAUCGUUGAAGAUAAAAGCGUGAUAGGUAUCGAUUUUUACUCGAGGGAGAUCGAUUUAAAUGAACGAGCUGCAGCGGCGAUAAGGUGUGUUACGUAAAAAAAAAAAAAGGUAAAAAAAAAAAAAAAAAAAAGGAAAAAAAAAAAAGAAAAAAAAAAAAAAGAAAAAAGAAAAUAAAUAAAUCGGGAGAGAAUCCGAUUCCCCGAUUGCAAUAGAAUGAAAACGAAUGAUUGCCGAACGUACGUAUAUAGUAAAUGACACAUACAUAUAUAUAUAUAUGUACGUAAAAGUAACGAUCAACGAAACAAAAAAAAAGAACAUGCUUUUCGAUCCGUGAGUUUAAUUAAAAAAAAAGAAAAAAAAGAAAAAGAGUCAACGAGACGCGUGAGCGAGCGAAUUUAAGCAAAUUUUUACCUCUCCUGCGAAAAUGACGUUCGUGUCGUUUAAACAAUCCGCACGUUUGAUCGCAAUAAAGGCCGUGCAAAGAAACUA